rnacentral:rRNA from 1 species
GACGAACGCUGGCGGCGUGCUUAACACAUGCAAGUCGAACGGAAAGGCCCCUUUGGGGGUACUCGAGUGGCGAACGGGUGAGUAACACGUGAGUAACCUGCCCUUGACUUCGGGAUAACUUCAGGAAACUGGGGCUAAUACCGGAUAGGAAUCCUUGCUGCAUGGUGGGGGUUGGAAAGCUUCGGCGGUUUUGGAUGGACUCGCGGCUUAUCAGCUUGUUGGUGGGGUAGUGGCUUACCAAGGCUUUGACGGGUAGCCGGCCUAGAGGGCGACCGGCCACAUUGGGACUGAGAUACGGCCCAGACUCCUACGGGAGGCAGCAGUGGGGAAUAUUGCACAAUGGGCGGAAGCCUGAUGCAGCAACGCCGCGGGCGGGAUGACGGCCUUCGGGUUGUAAACCGCUUUCAGCAGGGGCGAAGCUUGUGGUGACGGUACCUGCAGAAGAAGCACCGGCUAACUACGUG